rnacentral:snRNA from 1 species
GGGUGUGUCUGUUCUUCACCGUUCCCUGUGUGUUCUCCCCAAAGCUCAAAGAGGAUGACCUUCCUCAAGGGAAGAGAUCUGUUCUUGGGUCAAGGGUGUACGAGUACAUGUGUUCUCCUACUGAAAGUUUCCCAAAGCUCUCAAGGUCUGCAAUGUUGUAUUGGGUGUGCUAACCAGUGCCACAGGCAAGAAAAAUAAAUUUGAAAAAAGCCAUGUGCUUGGAAAUAAAAAAAUGAAACUGUUUUUGUUU